GAAGAAGCUCUCUAAUAUUCCAGCAUGUUUAAGGCUGUCCCUCUUGCUCAAUUGAUCAGCACCAAAGGCCAGGGAGCAUGAUCUUAUGCCACCAGCUCCGAUAGACAUAAGGCCUAAGCAAAAAUAUAGAAACAAAAGCUGUGGUGUCGUCGCGUCGUUAUUGCAUAUGCUACUAAAUUGGGCGCAAGAAGGCACCGUUGCCCCAGGAAUUAUUGUUGUCAACCACAAUAGAACCAUUCCCUGCACAUUUAUUUGAUUCCAGUUAAUAUUUUGACAUGAUCAAGAGUUUUGAGAAAGUUUUUUUUCCUUCUUCUAAACUUCAACGUCGUAUUAAUUAGAGAAGAGCAAACAACUUUAGUGUGUGUGUGAGAUGAAGAUUUGUCAAUUUGGACAACACAUGAUAACAGGUCUUGUUGAAGAUUUUUAUAAAAGGAUUUAAGAAUAAAAUAGAUAUAAUUAAACAUGUUGAUAUAUAUAUAUAUAUGUAUAUGUGUGCGUGCGUGCGUGUGUAAGGAUGGAUAACUAUGGAUAACAAUAUAUUUUUCCAAUUAAGCUUUAUCCACGAUAGCUUGUUACUUGUUUAUUAAUUCUUGUGAGAUUGGCUUCCGAAACAAGCUAUGGGUCCAUCCAUAUGCAGAUAUCUCGUUACUUAUAAAAUAUUCAGAAAUGUAAUAAUAAAAUAUAUUGUUGUUUUCAUCAGCUAUAUUAAAAGGAAUUUAUCAUCCAGUAAUAAAAUAUUACUGGUGGAGGAGGAUUCAAUAGGCGGCAGUGUUUGGAACGUUGGAAUGAGGUUUCCAUCGUGUUUAAAAUUUUUAUUUUUAAAUUUUUUAUAUAUAUUUUAAAAUUAAGUGAAAAUGAAACUUAUCAAUUACCCGGGCUCUCUCACGUGGUGUUAAAAAACCCCUUUCAAAAAAAAAUAUAUAUCUGAAGUUAUUAAUAAUAUGUAUUAACUCUUACAUAUUUUAAUUGAAAAUCCUUUAAAUUUAAAAUUUAUAGAGGUUAAUACUAUAACAUGUUUUAAAUUUUAAAUUUAAUUAAAAAAUUUAACACGUUUAGUAUAUUAAAAAUUAUUUCAAUUUAAAAACUCAUUUAAGAUUAGCAAUGGACUUAAUUAAUUGGAAUCACCACUUUUGUUUGUGAGAGAAUCGCCACUGAGCCAUAGAUCCGUUGGCCGGACACAUAUAUGGUUGUCUUUGUGACAAACAGAAGGGAGAAAAAUAGAGAGACGAGAGAUGAUGCAAAGUUGGAAAGAAAUAAUGUUACCAGAAGGCUCGCAAUACAUCCAAAGCCGAUCAUCGGGUAUCGACCCACAUAUGUAUCAGCAAGAAAAGCCCCAAUAAUUGGCAUGAAAUUCCCAGCAGCUGAGUAGAGGAAGAGUAUUUGGGCACCGCUAGCUGCAUCCAUACCAUACUCUCUAGUCAAAUACAGUAUCAUAUUUGUUGAUAGCCCGAAACUUGCUAGCCUCUCCAGUGCCUCAUUUGCUGUCAAAACAUCAAUUUAAACCACAUUACUUGAACAGUAAUAUAUAUAAGCUGCCAUGUAACCUGCUGCUCAUAAUAUAUGCGUCUGCGUGCAUGUUGCUGAAUGUGUAUUAAAUACCUAUGAUGAAAAACAAGGCUCUUAUGCCACCCUUCGGGCUGCUCAAGAGUGGCUCUGUGAUCAUCUCCUUCGGAUCUGAUUGUGCACUCUGUCGAUGGAGGGAAAGAGUCUUGCAGCUUCUUCAGUCCACUAAUUUGUUGUGAGAGAUCAUUUGGUGCACGAUGAAUACAUAUAUACACCCAGAGAUUUGUUGCCUUAAGUAAGCUCCUUUGUUUUCCCGCUGCUGGUUUUGGCUUCAUUAGCUGUUCCUCUAGGAUUCAUUAGCUGUCCUUCGAUUGAUUCUAUCCAUAAAAAAAGAAAUAUAGAUUGAACGUUGAUGUCACUGGAUAAUAAUUCUUUAGUAAACGUAAGAUUUUCUCAAGUUGCAAUUUUUUAUUUCACUGUAACCUGUUUCCCGGAAGAACAGCGUAAAUUCGAGCACACAAAUAUUCUAUUCAUCUUUUAAGCUAAGUAUCCAAGCACAGACAAGCUGAAUUUUGUAGAAACAGAAUUCUUCCUUGCAGGUUUUACUUAGCUCUUGCCCAAUUGGAUUUAGGACCAUGUUUUUGGAUUAAAUUAUGUAUCCUUGUUAAUCCAAUCAACUUCAUGUAUGAUCUUCCAACAAGGAUAUUGCACAUGUCAGGUGGUUUUUUGGUACACUGCCACUACACCGUCUCUGACACAGUUUCACAAAAAAACUGAAAGGGAAAACCACCCCGCUUAUUGUACUUCAACUUGCACAUAUAAUAAAUUGAAAGGGAAAACAUUCAUUGUAUUGUUCAUAGAUUGCUAUUCAUACGCAUUCAUUGUACUCUUUGCUUAUUAUUAUUAUUAUUAUUUGAUUUGAUAAAAUAAAAUUGUAUAGAAGUUGAUAGCAAUGAGCUCAAUGCUAUGCAUCAACUUUGUUCUGCAAAAUCAAUCAAUAUCAAGCUAGGACUCUAAUAUUUUUUUUCAGUUUCUAGGUUUGAAAUAGUAAAAAUAAUGAUACUUUAAAAUAACGUUUGAAAAUUAUAGGUUUGAUACAAUGAAACUCGUUUUUCCUCUGUGAACAAAUGUGAUGGUGGUUCUCAGCAAUGAGCUCACUGUUUCUUUGUAGGGGACCAUUAAUUUGAACAUUAAUUUUUUCUUAAACCCUGUAAUUCCACAACCUUUAGCCUACUCGGUCAGUUAACUUUCUGUUAGUGAGUUGUCAUCCUUUUGUAUUACUUUUUCAUUGGUUUGUUUUAUUUAUUUUUUUAAACAAAUGGUAGUACUGUUUAAUUUCUUUUUUUAUAUAAAACUAGGACCAGAUUCAACCCCUCCUAUUCUAUUAUAACGUGUUUGAUGUGGGACCCAUAUUUGCCAUGUAUUAUGGAUAAUUGUUAGUGAUAUCGCAAGUGAUCGCGUGGUGUAAUUGUUUGGUUUAGAGUUAUUAAGAAACUUAAGUGUACUGGUAUUAUCAAAUAUUUUAAGGGCAAGAGACUGGUUGUAACUAGAAAAGGUAUUAGCACCCCUAGUACACCCUACAUGAGGUAGCACCCUUAAUAUACCUUACUCGAGCUAAGCUGCAUUGCAUGGCCUAUGUCAUAACCUAUUUUUGGGUUCUUCCCAAUUACAUUUUCUUUUCUUCUUCUUCAAAAAAAAAAAUAACAACAGAACACCGAAAUAGUGUCGUUUUGAACAACAAUGUUCUCCUUCUUCCCUGCGCAUACAGAGACAGGGAAUAAGAAAAUUGUAAAUCGUUUUUCCCACUCUCCCCCCACCCCCGACUUGACCACUCACCCGACACAACCCAUACCCCUACAUACCCUGCCACCAUGCCAAAGAAAAGACAGAGGCGUCAUGCCCUACAAACAGGUGGCCACCUUACCUUGCAGAGGUAAGGUAGCACCGCUCCCCCCUGCACCACGAAGGGAUAGAGCAGGGGGCUCCCUCUUCUCCUACUUAUAAAUAGAAGGGGAGGAGAACGAACCGAAGGGAAGGGGAAAAAUUUAAGGAAUGAGAAACAGAGGGUUUUGAGAAGAUAGAAAGAUUUGAAGAAAAAAAAAUAGGAAACAGAGAGGAGAUUUUAAAGAGAAGAAAGUUGAAAAAAAUAGGGGGAUUGUUUUGAAAACAGAAACUGAACGAAGGAGAAAUAUAGAAAACGCUAAGAAAGGAAGAAGAAUCAUUGUUUUCAGCUGUGGUCCGUUAGAGAGAGAAAGAACAAGACAUAGGGAAGCUGAGGGUGGACGAAGGGGAGAAAAGAAAGGAAACAAAAAAUGAAAGAAAGAAGAAAAAAUGAAAGAAAGAAGAAACACAGAGGAGAGAAGAAGGAUCGCCGCCUGGAACCACCGCCACCAGCGAGCACCACCGUGAGCCACCGCAGGUCAACUCCUUCUCCUUCUUGGUUCUGCUCGGCCCCGACCCCAUCUCCACUAUUCUGCUAAUGAACAAUGGAGAGUGAAUUAUAAUUCACUCUCCAAUGUUCACGUAGCAUCUGAACAGUGAAGAGCCAGUGUUCACUGUCUGGCCUUGUCCGAAAUUUUUUUAAAAAAAAUCAUUUCAAAAAUUUGUAAUUUUCCCGCGUAUUUUUCUACUGAAUUUUGCUUAAUAUUGGUUUGUAGUUUUAUACCGUAAAGAUACAAAUCCGGUAUUAAAAUACCUGUCUUUCUCUGAAAUGAUGCAAAAAGAAAAUUAUAUAUAAAAAAAUGUCUUGCUUUCUUGCAUACGACCAAGUCUCUAAAAAAAAUCAUAUCGUAUUUCCAUACAAAGAAAAUUUCAAAAAAAAAUAUGUUUUAGCGUGCAUUUUCGCUUUAAUAACCAGUUUAUUAAAGUCAUGAGAACUAGGUCAAUAUUUCAAAAACUCCAAAAUUAUCAUUUUGUUUUCUUUUAAUAGUAAGGAUUUCGCACUUAUACGUAAGGCGUACUCUCGAUAUUAAAAGGAUAGUUUUUUUAUUGACAUUAGAAUAGUUAGGUUUAACCCAAUAAGAUAAGGAUCUCCUUAUCGAGGGGAACUUUUCUUAAACCAUAGAUAGACGAACAAUUAGACCUUAACGUUUAUCAGACAAUCAAACAAUGCAGCUUACCUUAGUAGGGCGUAUUUGGGGUGUUAAUACCUUCCCUUUACACAAUCAGUCCCCGUGCCCGAUCUCCGAGACCAGUUAGGGUUCCUAGCGACCAAAAUACUAGGUGGCAACUCCCAUUCCAUUUUUCCAUUGAUAAAAGACAAGAAUCCCUUGUCUCCUCUUAUUUGUCAGAUAGAUACCAUACCUGAGAGUGGAAGAUUCGCCACGAUGUCCGCCCACAUGCGACAGUCUGAAUAUGAUUUAAAGGCUUUGAUGAGUUCUUAACCGGCAGUUUGUUUAUGUCUUCGGAUGAAGAUUUAUUCGUGUGAAUAAAUCUGGCGUUUUGAAUUUAUUAUGGGCUCGUGUGUCCAAACAAAUUCUUAUGGAAAAGGUUUAUGUAGGUGCGCUGACAGGGUUCACCUAUCUUCGAAGGUAGAAGAAUUUUUCACAACUCGUGUGUUGUGGUGAAAAUACUUCCAAUUAAAAUGUAAUGGACCUAGUAAUCUCAUUCAAAUGAGACACCUCUUUAAAGUAAAGACAGGCAAUCCAGGCAGCAUCUAUAAUUUUUUUUUUGUUUUUUUUUUGUUUUAAACAUUAAAAAACACGUAAGAAAAUACAAACACACACACAUUUGUUUUAUUAUAUUUUACUCACAAAAACUACAAUUAUAUUUUUUACAUAUCACUAAAAUUCAAAACAAUUCAGACACACACACAAUAGACAUUUAUAAUUUACAAAAUAGACCUUCUAAAAUUCACAAAUUAAUCCGGAGAAAUUGCUAGAAUUUCAGGAACAGUGCUGGGAAGCUUCCAAGUUACAGGAACAGUGGCGAUGUGUGGGUCUCACACACCACCACCACUUACGGCGAGUGGAACAACGUGUCGUCACCGGUGAAGACAAGAAAUAGGUGGAUCAAAGACUGCUUCUUCUCUGUUUUCUUUUUAUGUUGGCAGUGAAUUUUUUGUUGUUACCUGCAAACAAAAGAAAUCUCAAACAUGCACAAUCAGUUUUUGGAUUAAAUUAUGUAUCCUUGUUAAUCCAAUCAACUUCAUGUAUGAUCUUCCAACAAGGAUAUUGCACAUGUCAGGUGGUUUUUUCGUUUCUAAGAGAACUGCUUUCUUCUUUUAUUUAACACACUGCCACACCGUCUCGCCUGCACCACAAAAAAACUGAAAGGGAAAACCACCCGCUUAUUGUACUUCAACUUGCAUAUAUAAUAAAUUGAAAGGGAAAACAUUCAUUGUAUUGUUCAUAAAUUGCUAUUCAUACUCAUUCAUUGUACUCUUUGCUUAUUAUUAUUAUUAUUUGCUUUGCUUUUGUUUUUGUUGUUUGCGAACGAUUUGAUAAAAUAAAAUUGUAUAGAAGUUGAUAGCAAUUAGCUCAAUGCUAUGCAUCAACUUUGUUCUGCAAAAUCAAUCAAUAUCAAGCUAGGACUCUAAUAUUUUUUUUCAGUUUCUAGGUUUGAAAUAGUAAAAAUAAUGAUACUUUAAAAUAACGAGAAAGAAAAUUAUUGGUUUGAUACAAUGAAACUCGUUUCUCCUCUGUGAACAAAUGUGAUCAUUAGCUGUUUCUCUGUAGGGGACCAUUAAUUUGAACAUUAUUUUUUUCUUAAACCCUAUAAUUCCAAAACCUUUUGCCUACUCGGUCAGUUACCUUUCUUUUAGUGAGUUGUCAUCCUUUUUCCAUUACUUUUCCAUUGGUUUGAUUUAUUGUUUUUUUUUUAAAAUGGGAGUACUGUUUAGUUUCUUUUUUAUAUAUAAAACUAGGACCAGAUUCAACCCCUAGAAUAGUGUAACGUGAUUGAUGUGGGACCCAUAUGUGCCAUGUAUUUUGGGACCAAGUUAUGAUUCAAUCCCUCCAAUUCUAGUAUAACGUGCACGCAUGGCAUACGUGGGACCUAUAUAUGCCAUGCAUUUGGGAUAAUUGUUUUUUAUGUUGUACGCGUAUGUGCCAUGUAUUUUGGAUAAUUGCUUUUGAUGUCGCACGUGUACGUGUGGUGUUGGGUGGUUAAGGGAAUCGUCAUCCAGCUGUUUAGUUCAGAAUUGUUAAGAAACUCAGGUGAUAUUUAAAUACCAGCCUACUUGCAAGUUCAACAUUUAUACCAAAAUAUUGACUAUUAAUUCUCAUGAAUUAAAUUUUUUAUAAUUAUUGGAAUAUUGGUCAAAUUCUCAUGGAUUAAAUAAAUUGAUUAUUGAAUCCAAAAUGCAUGCUAAAAAAAUAAAACAUACCAUGUAUUUUAUUUUUUAAACAAGAUAUGAUUUUUAUAUUUUUGAGAGACUUGGCCGUAUGCAAUUACGACAUUUUUUUUUUGUCUUUUUGGUUUUAAGCAUUCAAAAACAUGUAAGAAACUACAAACACACACAUAUACAUUCUUUUUACUAGAUUUUACUCACAACACUACAAUUACACUUUUUACAUAUCACCAAAAUUCAAAACAAUUCAAACACACACACUUACAAUUUAAUUUGAAAUUUAGGUUAAAUAAAAAUUUUCAUUGUAGAGUUUGAGCAAAAAUCACGAUUCUUGCUUCAUCAUACAAGAGUUAUGACCAUAUGUCACCCCUCGAAGGGCGAGUUCAUCAUAUAGAUUACAUGCUCAUACAUUUGUCAUGCAUGCACAGGGAUGAAAGUAGGUUCCCUCACCCGAGGUCUAUUAUACUAGAUUGAGAAAAGUGGGAAAAUAAAGAAUGGGGUUCGAUAAGGCUCUUUGUCAAAAGGAAAUUGAGAGCAUCAAAUGUGAAGUAGCUAAAUUUGAUCUGCUUGAACAAGUGCUGAACUUCAAGAGUGGAAAGGGAAUGUCUGCACAGCCUCUUGUGGAAGAACUGUCAGUCCAUGUCCCACACAAGGAAAACAUCAUUGACUCUUUUUCUCAGCACUCCACCAGCAGUGGCCAAAACAUUGAAGUGGCAAUGCCUCUCAUUUCAGUCAGGAACAACAACAACGCCUUCAGUCAUCAAUGAAAGAUAAUCUCCUUUCUGGUUCAACUGCAUUAUUAGUUGUUCACCACCUUCAUGUCUUGCAAUAGCACCUAAUAGCUGCUAGCUUUUUGUGUCUGACAUUCUUUGAAGUCACCGAACUCCAUUUCUGUCCUGCAGGAUGUUAAUUUGAAAAACUUGAGUCUACCUUGAACUUCAAUGUAGCAAAGCUUUCUCUACAGAGAUUUGUUUGUGCAUCUGCCAGUGGAGAAUUCAAGAAGGAAUGCAGUGGUUUUAGAUCAUCUAUAAUUUUCUCCUACCAGUGUCAGCAUGAAAACAUAGAAGUAGAGAGAAGAGACAUGCCUAAACUGAAAAACAUGAAGAAGACCGAAACUUCAACAGAGCAGAACUCCCUCUAUGGGUGCUAGUUUGCUACACCGUUCAGGAGGAAUCAAAGAGGAAAUAGAGGAGAUUCAUGGUCAUCAUUUUCUCCCCUAGUAGAGACAAUGUGUGAUUCCACGCAUCGACAGUGGCAGUGCUGCGCGCUACCAUGAUAUCUAACAACCUUGAAAGGUUUCCACUAAUCUUCAAACAACCACAACAAGCAUAGAAGAUUGGCAUGAGAUUGUGAGGAUUGCUAAAAGAGUUGAACAAGCUAUAAUGAUGGGAAAGAUUGAAGGUUCUGUCAUGGAUUCCAGAACAAUGAUAAGAGAUGAAUCGGAAGAUAACUCUGAAGGUGGAAAACCUUAUUUAUGUGGUCUAGCCAUGUCGUUAAUAUGGUUAUGGAAUUUUGACAUUUUGCAUUUUGUUUUGGAAUCACAUCUCAUCCUUUAAUGGAACAUGUCUUUUCGUUGUCUUCCUGUUGUUUUGAAAUCAAGAGAUGCAUCUUUCAAAGGGUAUUUUGACAAAAUAUUUUGAUGAGUGGAAAGAAGAAAAAGAAAAAAAAAUAAGGUUUUUAGAUGAGUGGAUAUUAAGCAAGUUAGGAAGAUAAGAAGACAAGUUUUCUUUACAAAGCUUACUAUGCAAAACAUUGAGGAGUUUUGCUUCGUAAGCAUUGUAAAGAGGGGGCAUCUGUUGUUACCUAAUUUUUUACCAAUAUUUUUUAUAAAAUUUUCGAAAAAAAUCCAAAAAUAGCGAAAAUCAACGAAAAUUCAAAAAAAUACGUUUUUUUAAUAUAUUUGCAUCGUUUUUAGCAUUUUCAGCAUCGUCUCAAAAGAAUUUAAAUUUUCAAAGAUCUUUGGAACGCGUUCGACUUUUAACGCGUUAUUUUUAAAAUCACCAAUUUUUUUCAUUUGAGUCGAUGUUGAUAAGAAAAACCCAAGAAAGUAAGAAAAAUCAAAUUUACAAAAAAAGAAAGAAGUUGAGGGACCAAGUUUGGAAACCUAGCAAUACUUUUACAUAUAAAUAGAAGUUUCAAACAUACACAGGAGGGGCAAUUUUGCACAAUUAAAAAAACACAAAAAACCCUAAGAAUUGGAACCCUUUCUUCUCCCUCACUAAAGCCGCCGUCCACUCCCAUUCUCUACAAAAAAAGAAGCCAACCCCCCUGCUUUUGAUUUUCCUUCACCACAACAGCCGACCGAACACCAACCCUCACUAUCUCCUUCUCCCCUCAGCCGAGCUGCCUCCCCUCACCAGACCAUCCCCAUUUUGCCUUUAACCAGACCUCCCCUCAACCAGCAGACCCAACGCCUGCACCCAACACAAGUUCCCCUCCCACUCCAGCCUUCACCCAAACCUCCAGCAGCGGCAAUUUCUGCCCACAGCUGAUAGACCCAGCUUUAUCUCCUUCAACCGACCUCUAGCAACAGCCUACACACAGCGGCGCUCGUGGAAGCAACCCCAUCGCCGGCUUUCACAGAUCAGCUCCCUUCCUCGGCCAGCCGUUCCUCAGUUUUUCCACCCGACAAACGAAGCCGGCCACCGCCAGACCUACAACCUGAUAGCUCCCUCCCAACCACCAAAUCUGCCAUCGGCAGAAGAAAAAAAAACAGAGAAGGAAAGAAGGACCGGGAGCAGAUCUGUAAAGGAAAGAAAAAUUAAAACCGACUGCUGUUUGUGCAUUUUUUAUUUUGUUGUAGGUGACGGUGACCCUCACCGUCGGCGUAGGAAGAUAGUGAAGAAGAAGACGUUCCCAAUCCACCGGUUUUGUUGGCUUCAUCGGCGGCGGCGGAGCGUGGAACAAACACGCCGCCACUGUCUUGCGGCUCCAGAAGUCUGCCUGACACUGUUCCGGUGGUGCAGAAGGUCUUCCCUGCAAUUCCUGGAGUUUUAGGGGCUGUUUUGUAAUUUUUAAAGUGUUUAAUGUAAUUUUUGUUUAGUUUUUGAAUUUGUAUAAUUUGUAGUGUGUAAGAAAAAAAAAAAAAGAAAAAAGGAAAAAAUAUAGUAAAAGUGUAUGUGUGUGUUUGUAUUUGUUUUAUGAAUGGUUUUGUUUUUUGAUAAAAUUGCAAAGAAUAAAGAAGAAUUUAAUAUUUUGAUUUGCUCACGGUAAAAGAUUAUGAACUUACACAUAAGUUAUAUUUCUAAUAUCCGAUGAAAAGAUAAAAUUUUUAAAACUUCUUUAACACAUCAAAGCCACGAAGCAGCUUACCUCAGGUAGGGUGUGUUAGGGGUGCUAAUACCUUCCCUAACCACAACUAGUCCCUUACCCGUGAAUCUCUGACAAGACCAGUACACCCGGGCUUCCUAGUAGUCCUCAAUUAAAUACUAGGUGGCGACUCCCAACGAAUCAAAUCAAACGAAAAGAAAAAUCGCCAAACAGACGCCACGCGGGUGACGUGCGACAACGAUUCUCUUUGCACUUAGUAAGUUAACUAGGUCACAUCGAGACAAUUCCUAUACAAUUUAAUUUGAAAUCUAGGUUAAAUAAAAGAAGGGUCAGAAGUUUUCAAGUUUUACUUAUUGGGCCAGGUUUAAUAUAAAUGCUUAAGUUUUCCUACGACCUGAACAAUUUUACAUAUAUGUGGACUUGUCUUUGAAGAGAGAGAUGGAGAGCGAAAGAGUCCCACUAGAUUGUUGUGAUCUGAGGAGGUUUGUUGUUGGUGUAUAUUUUUUUGCAUUUAGUAAAGACUUAAUUUACUAUACAAUAGAAACACACAUUUAUAAACACUCAGGAGGGAUAGACAUCUUUUUCUUCUUUAUUCAUUUACAAACUACACACUUGACCGUUGUGAUAUGAGGAGGUUUGUUGUUGGUGUAUAAUGUUUUGCAUUAAGUAAAGCGUUUUUAAAUAUUCUAAAAAAAUUAUAGGGAUUUAUUGUGUAAAAUCACAUUAUUGAUUCCCUCACAAAACACUUUGUAUUUAUUGUUCAUGGUCUUUUUCUUUUUUCAUCCCAAAUUCGACACCAAUUUGAGUUAAUUUAUUAGGAAAGAGUAAGAUUAAUUAUAAGACAUGGGACUAAAGUGAAGGAGGUAAAGGAAAUGACUAACUUUUUCAAAUUUUAUGCAAAAUAUUUAUUGUGGACCUUAUACUUUCUAAAUUAUAUAUAUUAAGUCCCCUCAAUUUUUAAAAUUUCAUAAAAAAAUCAUUUUCAAUCUAAAACUUUAUUUUUCUCAUUUUUAGUCCCUAGUUCAAGAGAAGAGAAAGAAAGUCUCUAAAUUUUGAUAAUAGAGAAAGAAAAUCAUCGUUGACACUGAUUAUAACCAUUAAAAUGGUCGAUCUUGGUGUUAACAAGUUCCAUUCGGUGAGGAGAGUUUAACUUGUGUGUUUUUUCACUUUCAAAUUACCUAAAAAAUAGAUAUGAGCUUUGAAAGAUUUUUGUUUUGGGUUGAUUUUCAGUUUUUGAUGAAUUUAACAAGUUGUCUAGGAUUUUUUUUUCUAAGCGUUUUGGGUCAAAAUGGGUUGAAAAUCAAAAUUUUCUCCAUUUCACAUUUCAUUGUGGACUCGCAGUUUAAAAAUUUUGUAUUUUUUUAAUUUUGGUCAGACGUGUUUUGAGGUGAUUGCCUCUUUUUGGGACCAAAUUAAAAGACAAUGGAUUCAAAUCUAUUGACCAAGGACACGAUUGAAAGAAUGAGAACCAAAGAGAAAAAAUAGGUGAAAAUAGGUGGUCCUUUCAAACUUUAGUCAAAAAGUACACUUUGGUCCUUAUAUUUUUUAAAUUAUAAGCUUUUAGUCUACAUAUUUUUUAUACAAUUUCAUUUUGGCCCAAAACUUUAUUUCUACUAUUUUUUAGUCCUUUGUUUGAGAGAUGAGAAAGAAAGUGGUCAAAUUCUUGUCGUAAAGAGAAAGUUCUAGUUUACAUUGCUUUUAACCACGAAAAAUAUCGAUUUUAAUGUCAGUUGCUUACACUCAAUGAAGGGAGUGUAUCGUAGGUGUUCUUUUAUCUUAACUUUGACUAAGAUGUUAGAUUUGAGCUUGAAAAGUUAUUUGAUUUCAGGUUGAUUUUGAGUUUUUUGUUGUAUUUUUGGGUUUUUAGUCCAUUUAUAGGGUUAUCAAGGUGUUUUGGGCAUUUUAUAGGUGUUAAGAUCAAAAUGGAUUGAAAAAUAGGUUUUUAUAUCAAAACACCAUCGGCUCGGAUUUCUCAACCACCAUAAUGGCAGGAAUAUAUGGAAAAGUAGACGACGCAUUGUUUUCUUCAGUAGGUGACUUAUUGUCUGCUUAGUUUUUUUCAAAAAAAUUAGGGUUGUCUGGCCUUUAAUUAACAAAUAAAUAAAAAAUUCAGCCCAAGCAUGCGAGCUUAGGCUCAAAGGCGCAUGCCCUAGGCCUUUUUUUCAACUUUAAUAAAUUUUUAUCAAAGUUUUAUAAUGAUUUUUGAUAGAAUAUGAUUCAAUUUGCACUUAUUUUAUAGGUAAGAUUUUAUUUUUAUUUUUUUAUAUUAGGAGAGAUUCUUUAUUUUUUGCCUUACUUAAAUUUAUUUCCCUUUAAUUUUAUUCAAACGCUCUCCUAUGCGUAUAUUAUUAUUAUUAUUUAAUUAAAUAAAACAUUUAUUCCAAGAACAAAAUAUUAUUAGAUACAAUAAAGUCAAUACAAUCAAGUUUAUUAUCCAAGUUUCGAGAUUAAAUGCCUAGAGCCACAUCUAUCUCUCAACUUUGCAUUUUUUUUGGUUAAAUAUCACUUGUUUUUUACUUGAUUUUAGCAAAAAAUUAUUUUAUUUUUUAAAUAUAUGCAGCCUUGCAUGAUUUUUUUUUCUUUGAUUUUAUUCUAAGAAACAAAGUUAUUAGACAUAACUGGAUACAUGACCCAUGUUGCGAGAUCAAAUAUCUUGAACCACAUCUAGCUCUCUAUUUUUUUUUAGUUUUGUCUUUAGUUAUCAUUGAUAGCUUUUUUUGAAAAAAUUUAAUGGCAUAGAUAAUUAUUUGACUAAAUAAAGAAUUUAUUCAAACUAACAAAGUUAUUAAACAUAAUUAUGUAUAUGACCCUUAUUAUGAGCUCAAAUAUCUUGAUCUAUAUCUUUCUGUUGAUUUUUUAAGUUUAGUCUUUACUUAUCAUUAAUGUCUUUUUUAUAUUUAUUGGCAAUAAUAAUUAUUGAUUUAUUUAAUUAGAUAUAUGUAUAAGCUUUUUAUUUUUGUUUGUGAUUUUUUUAUGCUGAAAAAACACGUUAAAAAAGUAUGCAUAUUCAUUGUUUUUGCUGAAUAGUAAAAUUAUUUAAUCUGCAGUGGAGCACAGGUCAAAUAGAUAGAAUAAUAAUUGAAUGAUGCAACUUUAAAUAUAUUACAUGUUUAUUAAUAUAUAUGGAAUUCUUACAUGUCAAUCUCUUGAUCAAUAAUAGUUUACCAUCUAAUUAAAAAUUAAAACAUAUAUCUCAUAUCUUGUGUGCAUCAUAUCAACACUCAUUAAAAGGUUUUAGUGUCAACCUCAUCUUAGAUUGCUAAUCAGCCACGAACUUGUCAUAAGUGGAAACAAUGGUCUUCUACUAUAUGUUAUCAUUAACCUUCAUGGAGUUGCCAAGUCGUCUAGGCAUGUAUCUCAUAGCUUGUAGUAAAAAGCUCAUUGUUGCAUGCUUCGUGUUCUUCUAAAUGGAUUCCUUUCGGUUUGUCUAAUCAGAUUGUGAAAAGAAAAGCAUUGACAUUAUCAACAAUGUUCGUUUUAUAACCCAUCUUCAUGUGGUGAAAUGCACUUUUGGGCUUCAAAAUAGAUGGUCUUGUAGUUAGUCUUAGUGGUGUGCAUCUUUCCAACAUUCAUUCAAAUGCAACUAUGCAAUAACAUUUGUUAGGAGUCAUAGCCAUGUUUGAGAGGGUAAACCGAGAUGAAGAUAUGAAGAUGUCCUUCACGUGCAGCAUUGUGCCACAGUUAGUCUUGGUGGUGUGCAUCCUUCCGACAUUCGUUUAAAAGUAGCCAUGUGAUAACAUUUUUUUGUCUAUCAUCAAAAGGCACUUGUCAUCAUACCUUUGAUGGACUUCAUUGAUUCACCAUUUGAUUAUAUUUUUUUUUUGCCAGCUGAUCUGAAUACUAUUUGUUUUUUUUCUCAGGGUCCAGUGUAUUACCCCUAGGUGGUCAGCUUUUCAAGGAUGAGCAAGAAGUGUCAAUGUUAGCUCUGUCAAGAAUUUUGCAAACUCUAUCAAUGUUGUUCUUAUUUGACAAUAUUUAUUGUGCUAGAAUCAGCUCUCACAUUUCAAAGAUCAUAUAUCUAUUCAAGUCUAAUUAUUGAAAUGAAAUCAAAGAGAUGUCUGUUUUUAAAAAGUAUUUUUGAAAAUCAAUCUUGUUUGGUCAAAGACCCAACACACACCAUUAAGUACAUGUAGUCCUUUGACUAUCUUGUAUUUUGAAAACAGAAAUUGACUUGUUGUGAGAUUAAAAUAACUUUUCUAUGGUUUUUUUCUGCCCAUUUUAAUCUCUGAUCUUGGGUACAUUUUUUUGAUAGUACGUGAUGAGGUGACAUUCCGUGAAUUUCAAAAAAUUAAAACUGGAGGCUUUAUCAAGAAAUGUUGUUUCUUCUGAGCACCUAUUUUAUCAGCAUAUAUAACAACCAGUAACUUAAUUCAUGAAGCUAUGAGUCUUAUAGAAAGGCUCUUCAAGUUUUAAGAGUACCAUUUAUCGAUUCAAAUUGCUUACCUGAUUAAAAAGAGCUUUUGAAAGCAUGAAAUGCAAGCCAGGGUUCAUGUCUAUGAAUGAAAGGAAAAUUCACAUGUUCAAAAGGUGUUUGAGGGUUUCAAAGACAUAGGAUCAACAUCAACUAUUCAUCAGCUCUCUUUCUAUUGUUGUCUUUAUAAAGAAAAUGACAUAUAACCAUGUUAACCUCAACGAUCAGAAUUCUCUUGACAUAGAUCAUAAUACAAAUCCAACUUUUAAUUUGAUGAAUAACCAAUCUAAUCAUUUGAAAAUACUAGAGGCUUUAUCAUAGACACCAAAAAACAUGUUUAUAGCUUAGUGUUUUUUUUCUGGUGUUGACUUUUGGCAUUUGCUGUGUCUGCUAAGACUCAACUCGCCUCUUGCUCACCAACUUCAGGACUCAAUUCUUGAAAUUUUUGUAACUAUUCAAUUGAAUGGCCCAGGACCACACUAUGAUAUUCACAUCUCUUAUCUGGAUUAUACCACCUAGCAAAUGGUGGUUGCAUGAGAUUUCAUGAAGUCAAGGCAAUAAGUCCAAAAUCUAACAGAUGCUGGUAGAUGAACUUGAUUGGCAAAGGGAUGUCACUCUUGACAAAGGAACUUGAUGAGUUGUUGCUACAAAGAGACCUGACUGGAUCAUAAAACUAAGGUUCCCACUUAAGAGUCAUCUUCUGAUCAUUGUUCUGGAAUCCACGAUAAGACCUUCAAUAUUUCCCAUCUUGCUAGCUUGUUCAAUUCUUUCGGCAAUAAUCACAACCUUCUGUCAAUCUUCCAAGGUGGUUGUGGUUGUCUGGGGACUGUUGGAAACCUUUUAAUUAUUUUUCCUUGUGUGGGACACAGACUACCAGUGUUUCCACAAGAGGUUGUGCAAACAUUCCCUUUGUAUUCUUGAAGUGCAACACUUGUUCAAGCAGAUUUAUGAGUCUAGCUAUUUCACCUUUGAUGCUUUUCAAUUUUCUUUUGAUAAUGAGCCUCUAUCUGAUCCCUUUCUUUAUUUUCCAUCUUUUUCUCGGUCCAAUGCAGUAAACCUCAGGUGGGGGAACCUAUGUUUCAACCUUGGGGCAAGCAUGAUAAAUGUAUGUGCAUGUUUUUAUAUGAUGAACUCGCCUUUUAAGGGAUGACACAUGGUCAUAACUGUUGCAUGAUGAAAUAAGAAUUUUGAUUCUUGCUCGAACUCUACAACAAAAAUUCCUUGAGUGACGGUCAUUGUGUCACCUGUAAGUCCUGAAUUCAAGAUGAUUCAAAAAGGGCUAGCUUUGAUGCAAAACGAUGUAUAGGGUGCAUACAUCCUAAAUGCAAGUUCUAAUUGUUUUACGUGAGACAAGGGGUAGGUUUACUACUUGGUCUCUAAGAAGGGGUCUCUCGUUGUCCCAGUGAUCAUCCUCCAAAGGUCGAUAUCAGGCUUACAAGUAACGUGAAGAUAGAGGCCUUAAAUAAUAUCGGAUUGGCAUACCAACCACUAUCGAGUAAAUAAUCAAGCAAGAACUGGAUGGUUUCACGAGUCUUACACGGGCUAAAGUCAUUGGGGUACCGUUACUUCCCCACUUAACUUAAAGUUCAUAUAGCAAAUAUUUAAAAUGAAAUGAGUGGUGCGUGAAGGCACAAAUCUAUAUCCAAUAUGUGCAGGAUGACAUGAAUAAAUAUGCAUGAUAAAGGUGUAGAAAUAAAAUAAAAAUUCAUAAUAAAAAAACACAACACGACAAACGUUUUUAGCAAUUAACAAACAAAAGGCAAAGCUUAGUCCUAGAGUUCCCAUAUGGAGUCGUCAUUCUGCCGUACCCGACAUCGCGACAACCUUUAAAAAUUCAAAAUUUGGCGAAGAAAGAACAUAUUUUCUAGCAUUUGUUCUUGGGGGAAAAUGUCUUGUUUAAGGAGUCGACACCUAGUAUUAUGAUCACUAGGAACCCUAAUUGAUCAACAUAGAUUCUAUGAUACAAGACUGGUUAUGCAAAAGAAAAGAUGUUAUCACUCCUUAAACGUCCUACCUAAAGUAGACAGUAUUGCUAGUUUUGUCUUAAAUUGCUAAGGAUUUGUUAUACUAUGCUACCUAUGGUAUACUUGUAAUAUUCCUGACUCUGGUGUUAGUGAAUAUUCAACAAUAGAUACUUUCAACUUUGACAUUCAUAAAUAUUACGUAGCAAAAAACACAUAGGGUAUUCCUGACUUUUUUGGAAUUUCUCGUUUGGCAAGAUAUUAAAACAGAAGGGAAUAAAAUAAAGAAGAUUGAGAUGGCCGGGCCUGAGGCCCAGGCCCACCCAGCCCCAAUGUUUUUUUAUUUUUUUAUUUUUUUGAGGCCGUGUCCAGCUCAGCCGGUACAGACUGGGCUAGAUCCAGCGGCCUAGCCCGUUACUGGCCCAUGCCAGUAACCGGCCCUUUUCUUUUUGUCAGGCGUGUGUGAACUGUUCACGCACGCCUGCCUCAGGAACUAUGUAAUGAAAAUGCAAAACGGGGAAAACGAAAGCUUACCUGGUUUGCAGAGACUUUGAACAAGAACCUGCAGGUGCUGGGCGAAGCUUCUCUUUUCCGCUUCCUUUCUGCUCUUUGUCCCUUCUUUUUCUUGUUCUUCCUGUUUUCGUUUUCUCACGUUUUGUCUCUCUCUCGUCCCCUCUGUGUUUUUUCUGGUUUUCGUUCGUCCUCUCUCUGUUUUUGUUUUCUUUUUGCUUUUUCGUUCUCUCUAUUCUUUUCUGGCUUUAGUUCCUCUGUUUCUGCUUCUUUUCUUUCGUUUUUUUCUCUCUGAAGUUAGUUCCUAUCUAUGCUCGUCCCCGUCUUCUAUGUUUUUCUAUUCGUCUUUGUUGUUUCCUCCUUUGACUUCUGUUUUUUAUCUUGUUGCCCUGUGUUUUUCUGUUCGUCCCCUGGUUCUGUCGGUUUGCUCUCAGUCCCCCGGUCUACCUCUGUUUGCCUUAGUAAUAUAUAUGUACUAGCAUGAGGGGGAGUGUUGGUGUAAGGCUAGUAAUAUGUUUAUUUAGUUUUCUUGUAAAUAUAGGUAUCAAUGUAAAUAGAGCAUCUACACACACUAAUCAAGGAAAUAACUCAUCAUACAAUAUUUUUACCCUAAAAUUACUUGGUAACUGAAAUGUACAAAUGAAUCAGCUAAUAUGUAUAUUGAUGGUAUCCAUAUAAUAUAUUCUUUCUUGCUUACAGAUAAAAUACCAGGAUAUUGUGAAAAAUGAAGAAUGAACACAGUAUCUUGAAAAUUUCCAAAACCAUCUUUCAAGGUCUAUAUGAAGCAAUAACCUCAUAGUUCUCUCACUAACACAUCUAUCUUACUGUAUAUGGUAAGCACGAACAUACAAAGAUCCUGAACGUUAACUUAAACUACAUCAUCAUCAUAAUCAUAAUCAUCAUCAUCAUCAUCAUCAUCAUCAUCAAUCAAUCCUUCCCUAACAUCUCCAGUAAUGCCCCUUUGUCCCCCCUUACAAGGACCAUAAGCCUUGCUACAAGCAAGAUAAUAAAUGAAGUUAGCAAAACCCAAACUAGAAAGCAGCCAGUAAUAGUAAUCAUAAUGUCCUUUGUUGAUGUUGCUUGAAACCCAACUCUCUUGAUUUGCUUCACCAAUAAACCCACGAACAUUACUUACUAUAAAACUGGCCACCAAGCUUGCAGCAGACAGUCCAAUACUAAAAAGAUUCGAGGCCACGCUAGACAUGCUUUUAGGCAAUUCAGUGUAGAAGAACUCAUUCAGUCCAACACCAUUCAUAGCCUCAGAAAAUCCAAGUAAGAAAUAGAAUGGCAAUAACCACAUUGCAGACAUGUGCGUAACCGCGUCAGGAAUAUCUGAAAUUCCUUCCCUGAUUGCAAUUUCUCGUCGCACCCUCUCUAUAAUUGCCAGUACUGCCAUGGAAGCAGCCGAGACCAGAAUCCCGAUUCCUAUUUUCUGUUUCAAGCCGAGACGUGUUGGUUUUCCCGUGAUUUUUGAUGCUAGAGGGAUGAUUACGCGAUCGUAGAGAGCAAUCCACAUUGUUGCAGAGAGCAACAGAAAUGCAUAGAAUGAUCCAGCAGGAAUUUCAAAUUUCGAAGUGAUAUGUCGGUUCAUAGUGGAUGCCUGGAGUAAUAGGAAAGAGUUUUGACAGACAUUUACAGACACCAACACCCCUGUCGACCAUAUUGGGAUUACCUUUAUUAGUGCUUUCAGCUCUUCUACUUGAUCUACUGUACAAAGACUCCAUGGAUCUGAAGCUCUUCCAUCUGGCAUCAAGUCUUCUUCAGGAUUCUUAAUAACACAAGCUUUGUUGAGAAACCUAAGGCAAGAUAAGACAAAAGGAAAUCCUUAUAGGAACUAUCAUAUAUAAAAUUACCUUAUUAUACAAGUGCUUCACAGGUAGGUUAAUUACCUUAUUCUUUCACUUGGCACGACAAGCGCGGAUCCCUUCCUAUGAUGAUACAGCUCAUCCGUGUCUAGUGAAGAUAAUUCAAUCCUUCUCUUUCUAAAGGAGGCCACGAGAACUCGAGCAAAUCCGAUGAGCCAGCUUGCCUUAGCCUUUGGCUUGACAUAAAUGGGAGAAGCCAAGAAGAACGAAAGAGUUGACAGGAUCAUGAGAACCACAGGAACUCCGAAACCCACCUUCCAGCCCAUGGCCUCUUGAAUGUAAACCACACAAGUCAUGGAAAUAAAUACAGAAGCUGAUGAUAUAACAUAGUACCAACUGAAGAAGCUCUCUAAUAUUCCAGCAUGUUUAAGGCUGUCCCUCUUGCUCAAUUGAUCAGCACCAAAGGCCAGGGAGCAUGAUCUUAUGCCACCAGCUCCGAUAGACAUAAGGCCUAAGCAAAAAUAUAGAAACAAAAGCUGUGGUGUCGUCGCGUCGUUAUUGCAUAUGCUACUAAAUUGGGCGCAAGAAGGCACCGUUGCCCCAGGAAUUAUUGUUGUCAACCACAAUAGAACCAUUCCCUGCACAUUUAUUUGAUUCCAGUUAAUAUUUUGACAUGAUCAAGAGUUUUGAGAAAGUUUUUUUUCCUUCUUCUAAACUUCAACGUCGUAUUAAUUAGAGAAGAGCAAACAACUUUAGUGUGUGUGUGAGAUGAAGAUUUGUCAAUUUGGACAACACAUGAUAACAGGUCUUGUUGAAGAUUUUUAUAAAAGGAUUUAAGAAUAAAAUAGAUAUAAUUAAACAUGUUGAUAUAUAUAUAUAUAUGUAUAUGUGUGCGUGCGUGCGUGUGUAAGGAUGGAUAACUAUAUAUUUUUCCAAGCUUUAUCCACGAUAGCUUGUUACUUGUUUAUUAAUUCUUGUGAGAUUGGCUUCCGAAACAAGCUAUGGGUCCAUCCAUAUGCAGAUAUCUCGUUACUUAUAAAAUAUUCAGAAAUAUAAUAAUAAAAUAUAUUGUUGUUUUCAUCAGCUAUAUUAAAAGGAAUUUAUCAUCCAGUAAUAAAAUAUUACUGGUGGAGGAGGAUUCAAUAUGCGGCAGUGUUUGGAACGUUGGAAUGAGGUUUCCAUCGUGUUUAAAAUUUUUAUUUUUAAUUUUUUUAUAUAUAUUUUAAAAUUAAGUGAAAAUGAAACUUAUCAAUUACCCGGGCUCUCUCACGUGGUGUUAAAAAACCCCUUUCAAAAAAAAAUAUAUAUCUGAAGUUAUUAAUAAUAUGUAUUAACUCUUACAUAUUUUAAUUGAAAAUCCUUUAAAUUUAAAAUUUAUAGAGGUUAAUACUAUAACAUGUUUUAAAUUUUAAAUUUAAUUAAAAAAUUUAACACGUUUAGUAUAUUAAAAAUUAUUUCAAUUUAAAAAACUCAUUUAAGAUUAGCAAUGGACUUAAUUAAUUGGAAUCACCACUUUUGUUUGUGAGAGAAUCGCCACUGAGCCAUAGAUCCGUUGGCCGGACACAUGGUUGUCUUCGUGACAAACAGAAGGGAGAAAAAUAGAGAGACGAGAGAUGAUGCAAAGUUGGAAAGAAAUAAUGUUACCAGAAGGCUCGCAAUACAUCCAAAGCCGAUCAUCGGGUAUCGACCCACAUAUGUAUCAGCAAGAAAAGCCCCAAUAAUUGGCAUGAAAUUCCCAGCAGCUGAGUAGAGGAAGAGUAUUUGGGCACCGCUAGCUGCAUCCAUACCAUACUCUCUAGUCAAAUACAGUAUCAUAUUUGUUGAUAGCCCGAAACUUGCUAGCCUCUCCAGUGCCUCAUUUGCUGUCAAAACAUCAAUUUAAACCACAUUACUUGAACAGUAAUAUAUAUAAGCUGCCAUGUAACCUGCUGCUCAUAAUAUAUGCGUCUGCGUGCAUGUUGCUGAAUGUGUAUUAAAUACCUAUGAUGAAAAACAAGGCUCUUAUGCCACCCUUCGGGCUGCUCAAGAGUGGCUCUGUGAUCAUCUCCUUCGGAUCUGAUUGUGCACUCUGUCGAUGGAGGGAAAGAGUCUUGCAGCUUCUUCAGUCCACUAAUUUGUUGUGAGAGAUCAUUUGGUGCACGAUGAAUACAUAUAUUCCACCAGAGAUUUGUUGCCUUAAGUAAGCUCCUUUGUUUUCCCGCUGCUGGUUUUGGCUUCAUUAGCUGUUCCUCUAGGAUUCAUUAGCUGUCCUUCGAUUGAUUCUAUCCAUAAAAAAAGAAAUAUAGAUUGAACGUUGAUGUCACUGGAUAAUAAUUCUUUAGUAAACGUAAGAUUUUCUCAAGUUGCAAUUUUUUAUUUCACUGUAACCUGUUUCCCGGAAGAACAGCGUAAAUUCGAGCACACAAAUAUUCUAUUCAUCUUUUAAGCCAAGUAUCCAAGCACAGACAAGCUGAAUUUUGUAGAAACAGAAUUCUUCCUUGCAGGUUUUACUUAGCUCUUGCCCAAUUGGAUUUAGGACCAUGUUUUUGGAUUAAAUUAUGUAUCCUUGUUAAUCCAAUCAACUUCAUGUAUGAUCUUCCAACAAGGAUAUUGCACAUGUCAGGUGGUUUUUUGGUACACUGCCACUACACCGUCUCUGACACAGUUUCACAAAAAAACUGAAAGGGAAAACCACCCCGCUUAUUGUACUUCAACUUGCACAUAUAAUAAAUUGAAAGGGAAAACAUUCAUUGUAUUGUUCAUAGAUUGCUAUUCAUACGCAUUCAUUGUACUCUUUGCUUAUUAUUAUUAUUAUUAUUUGAUUUGAUAAAAUAAAAUUGUAUAGAAGUUGAUAGCAAUGAGCUCAAUGCUAUGCAUCAACUUUGUUCUGCAACUUCAGGAGGGCUAAAAACCAUCUCCUGAAAGUGGUUCAUAAUGGUUCUGUUGUUGAAGGUUUACCGGUCAUAAAAGAUGCGGCAGUUAACUUCUUCUCCAACUUAUUCAGAAGUCCUGAUAGAUUCCGAAUUGGUUUAGGGCCUGUUGGUUUUAAAACACUCUCGGCUUCUUCUUUAGCUAGCUUGGAGCGAGAUAUCACUUUGGAAGAAUUAAAGCAGAGUGUUUGGGAUUGUGAUGGGAGCAAGAGUCCGGGUCCAGAUGGUUUCAAUUUCAAAUUCUACAGGCUUGCUUGGAAUUUCAUUGCAGAUGAUCUGUUAGACCUGGCCAAGAAUUUCUUCAAAACAGGUAGGCUUCCAAAAGGAGUCAAUCAUGCUUAUGUUCAUCUAAUUCCGAAGAUAGCUUCCCCAGUUGGCUUCAAAGACUUCAGGCCUCUUAGUUUGAUUCAUGGCAUUUACAAGAUAAUGGCUAAGGUUCUUUCUAGCCGUCUGAAAGCGGUUAUGCAUGACCUUAUCAGUGAGAAUCAAACAGCUUUCUUGGCAGGGAGGCAAAUAAUUGAUGGGUUUUUGGUUGCCAAUGAAGCAGUUCAUUCCUUGAAAAGACACAGAGUGCCGAGCCUUAUCUUUAAGGUGGAUUUUCACAAAGCUUUUGAUAGUGUGCAGUGGGAUUAUUUAGAGCAGGUUAUGAGGCAUAUGGGUUUUGGUGAAAAAUGGAUUAAUUGGAUCAACACUUGCAUCUCCACCGCAAAAUUAUCAGUGCUGAUUAAUGGAUCUCCUUCUAAGGAAUUCUUGAUGGGCCGUGGGAUUCGCCAAGGUGACCCCCUUUCUCCAUUCCUUUUUCUAAUAGCAGCAGAGGGAUUAUCUGUUUUGUUUCAAAGAGCAGCUUCAAAUGAUCUUUUCAAAGGUAUCCCUUUUGGAGAUAACUUUUGCCUCAGUCACCUACAAUAUGCAGACGACACUUUAAUCAUCAUGCCUGCUAAUCUUCAUAUGGUCAAAACAGUUAAAAGGAUCCUGUUGUGGUUCGCUAUUUGUUCAGGUUUGCACAUUAACUUCCAUAAAAGCUCUUUAAUUGGCAUAAAUGUUGGGGAAGAUACUUGUGCUAGUAUGGCAUAUUCAGUCUUUUGCAGAUUUGAUUUCUUGCCUUGCUCUUAUCUAGGCAUGCCUUUAGGAUCCAAUCCUAAAAGAUUGUCUACAUGAAAGCCUAUUAUUGAGAAUUUCAGACGAAAGUUGAGCAUGUGGAGAGGUCGUAUGCUUAGUAUGGCAGGACGUAUCUGCCUAAUCAAAAGUGUCUUGAGUUCAUUGCCAGUAUAUUAUAUGUCUUCUUUUCUUAUGCCGAAAGGUGUCUGUAAUUUACUAACAUCUAUUCAACGAAGAUUCUUGUGGUCUGGAGUGGCAAAGCAAAAGAAAAUCUGCAAGGUUCAGUGGCGUAUUGUUGUGAAAGCUAGAAAAGAAGGAGGCCUCGGGUUGGGUUCUUUAAUGUCAAAAAAUAUAUCCAUGCUUUUCAAAUGGAUAUGGAGGCUAAACUUACCAGACCAUGCCUUAUGGAAACCAGGUAACAACCCAUUUUACUCCCCAACUUUCGAGAUGGGAUCCCAAACUUGCAUGGUCAUAUUUCCCCAUUUUGGAAAGACGUUUUGUCAAUCUUGAUCCAAACAGUGUCAUCGGCUUAGUAUUGCGUGAAAACAUUAAAUUCAAGAUUGGAGAUGGAUCCUCCAUCCUUUUCUGGUCUGACGAGUGGAUAGGAUCAAAUGCUUUACUUAGCAUUUUCCCUAAGCUUUACCAAAUUUCUACUUUUCGGAAUGGUUUGGUUAAUGAGAUGGGUCAAUGGGUGAAUGAUCAAUGGCGAUGGAAUUUGGUUUGGCGUAGGAAGCUCUUAUCUUAUGAAGAGCAACAAUAUCAUCAUUUGCUCUCAAUGCUGGAGCCAACGAUAAUUCGACAAGGAAAAGAUGACAAACUUAUAUGGUCAUGCAAUUCUGAUGGAAGCUUCUCAGUUAAAUCGUGUUGCACCCUAAUUGACAAUACUUCCUCUGCGACUGAUAGAGUCUUCGAAGCCAAUGUUUGGAUUAAAGGGGCCCCUCCAAAAGUUCAGGUGUUUCUCUGGUUGGCAGUACAGGACAAAGUUAGUACAAGAGCUUUUCUCCAUCAACGAACUGUUUUGUCUGCCACACAAGCUUCAUGUGUCUUUUGCAGCUCAAAUUUGGAAACCUCAGAGCAUCUUUUUAUACAUUGUAACUUUUCUAGGAGUGUUUGGAUGAAAGUUUUGGAUUGGUGGGGUAUCCAAUGUUGUUUACCGAGAACAAUUGACUUGCUGCUUCUGCAGUGGCCCGAAAUGGUACAUGGCAAAUUCCAAAGAUCAGCUUGGAGAUUAAUUUCAAGUAGUACUAUUUGGGGUAUAUGGUUGCUGAGGAACAAAAUUGUUUUUGAGGAGGGAGCUAUAAACUUGUUUGAUUGUUUCUCCACCAUCCUUCAUCGGGUUGCUAUUUGGUUGCAUUCUCAAGAUUCAAACUUCAAUUAUACAGGAAAUGACCUCUUAAGAUCUUCUGAUGGCAUCAAAUUAUGGUGUAAUAAGAAAUCUUAGGUAGUCUUCUUGUUGUUUGCUGUAGUAGAUCAGUUUUUUUUUUUUUUUUUUAAUAUCUCUUGUAUUUCUUUUUGGCUAUUCACGUUAUGGCCUUCUCAAUAUACUCUCGAUGAUUAUAAAAAAAAAAAGUAGUUAAGAAACUCGACUGUAGUGGUCUUAUUAAAGAUUCUAAGGGUAAGGAACUGGUUGUAACUAGAAAAUGUAUUAGCACCCCUAGUACACUACCCUACAUAGCAUAUCUUACCCGAGCUAAGCUGCAUUGCAUGACCUGCGUCAUAACCUAUUUUUGGGUUCUUCCCAAUUACAUUUCCUUUCCUUCUUCAAAAAAAAAAAAAACAACAGAACACCGAAAUAGUACCGUUUUGAACAACAAUGUUCUCCUUCUUCCCUGCACAUACAGAGACAGGAAAUAAGAAGAUUGUAAAUCCUUUUUCCCACUCUCCCCCCCCCCCGACUUGACCCCUCACCCGACACAACCCAUGCCCCUACAUACCCUGCCACCACACCGAAUAAAAGACAGAGGCAUCAUGUCCUGCAAUUAGGUGGCCACCUUACCCUGCAGAGGUAAGGUAGCACCGCUCCCCCCUGCACCAUGAAGGGAUAGAGCAGGGGGCUCCCUCUUCUCCUGCUUAUAAAUAGAAGGGGAGGAGAACGAACUAAAGGGAAGGGGAAAAAUUUAAGGAAUGAGAAACAGAGGGUUUUGAGAAGAUAGAAAGAUUUGAAAAAAAAAACAGGAAACAGAGAGGAGAUUUUAGAGAGAAGAAAGUUGAAAAACAGAGGAGGGUUGUUUUGAAAACAGAAACUAAACGAAGAAGAAAUAUAGAAAACGCUAAGAAAGGAAGAAGAAUCAAUGUUUUUAGCUGUGGUCCGCCACCUGCACUGCCAACGCCAUCGUUAGAGAGAGAAAGAACAAGACAUAGGGAAGCUGAGGGUGGACGAAAGGGAGAAAAGAAAGGAAACAAAAAAUGAAAGAAAGAAGAAACACAGAGAAGCAGAGGAGAGAAGAAGAAGGAUCGCCGCCUGGAACCACCGCCACCAGCGAGCACCACCGUCAGCCACCGCAGGUCAACUCCUUCUCCUUCUUGGUUCUGCUCGGCCCCGACCCCAUCUCCACUAUUCUGCUAAUGAACAAUGGAGAGUGAAUUAUAAUUCACUCUCCAAUGUUCACGUAGCAUCUGAACAGUGGAGAGCCAUUGUUCACUGUCCGGCCUAGUCCAAAAAAAAUUUUAAAAAAAAAUCAUUUCGAAAAUUUGUAAUUUUCCCGCGUAUUUUUCUACUGAAUUUUGCUUAAUAUUGGUUUGUAUUUUUAUACCGUAAAGAUACAAAUCCGGUAUUAAAAUACCCGUCUUUCUCUGAAAUGAUGCAAAAAGAAAAUUAUAUAUAAAAAAAAUGUCUUGCUUUCUUGCAUACGACCAAGUCUCUAAAAAAAAUCAUAUCGUAUUUCCAUACAAAGAAAAUUUCAAAAAAAAAUAUGUUUUGGCAUGCAUUUUCGCUUUAAUAACCAGUUUAUUAAAGUCAUGAGAACUAUGUCAAUAUUUCAAAAACUCCAAAAUUAUCAUUUUGUUUUCUUUUAAUAUUAAGGAUUUCGCACUUAUACGUAAGGCGUACUCUCGAUAUUAAAAGGAUAGUUUUUUUAUUGACAUUAGAAUGGUUAGGUUUAACCCAAUAAGAUAAGGAUCUCCUUACCGAGGGGAACUUUUCUUAAACCAUAGAUAGACGAACAAUUAGACCUUAACAUUUAUCAGACAAUCAAACAAUGCAGCUUACCUUAGUAGGGCGUAUUUGGGGUGUUAAUACCUUCCAUUUACACAAUCAGUCCCCGUGCCCGAUCUCCGAGACCAGUUAGGGUUCCUAGUGACCAAAAUACUAGGUGGCAACUCCCAUUCCAUUUUUCCAUUGAUAAAAGACAAGAAUCCCUUGUCUCCUCAUAUUUGUCAGAUAGAUACCAUACCUGAGAGUGGAAGAUUCGCCACGAUGUCCGCCCACAUGCGACAGUCUGAAUAUGAUUUAAAGGCUUUGAUGAGUUCUUAACCGACAGUUUGUUUAUGUCUUCGGAUGAAGAUUUAUUCGUGUGAAUAAAUCUGGCGUUUUGAAUUUAUUAUGGGCUCGUGUGUCCAAACAAAUUCUUAUGGAAAAGGUUUAUGUAGGUGCGCUGACAGGGUUCACCUAUCUUCGAAGGUAGAAGAAUUUUUCACAACUCGUGUGUUGUGGUGAAAAUACUUCCAAUUAAAAUGUAAUGGACCUAGUAAUCUCAUUCAAAUGAGACACCUCUUUAAAGUAAAUUCCAGCACACAAAUAUUCUGUUCAUCUUUUAAGCUAAGUAUCCAAGCACAGACAAGCUGAAUUUUGUAGAAACAGAAUUCUUCCUUGCAGGUUUUACUUAGCUCUUGCCCAAUUGGAUUUAGGACCAAGUUUUUGGAUUAAAUUAUGUAUCCUUGUUAAUCCAAUCAACUUCAUGUAUGAUCUUCCAACAAGGAUAUUGCACAUGUCAGGUGGUUUUUUGGUACACUGCCACUACACCGUCUCUGAUACACAGUUUCACAAAAAAACUGAAAGGGAAAACAACCCCGCUUAUUGUACUUCAAGUUGCAUAUAUAAUAAAUUGAAAGGGAAAACAUUCAUUGUAUUGUUCAUAAAUUGCUAUUCAUACGCAUUCAUUGUACUCUUUGCUUAUUAUUAUUAUUAUUAUUAUUAUUAUUAUUAUAUGCUUUGCUUUUGUUUUUGUUGUUUGUGAACGAUUUGAUAAAAUAAAAUUGUAUAGAAGUUGAUAGCAAAGAGCUCAAUGCUAUGCAUCAACUGUGUUCUGCAAAAUCAAUCAAUAUCAAGCUAGGAAUAAAAAAUUGUCUCCCAUUGCAAAGCCAAAAUAAGCUUCAAUACGGGCAACAUUUACGAAAGCCAACCGUACGUACAAUAUUUUUAAAUGCAAUAUAUUUGUUUACAGCCCAAAAUAUGCUGGACUCUAAUAUUUUUUUUUCAGUUUCUAGGUUUGAAAGAAUAAAAAUAAUGAUACUUUAAAAUAACGAGAAAGAAAAUUAUUGGUUUGAUACAAUGAAACUCGUUUAUCCUCUUUGAACUGUGAACUAGGGGUGAUCAUUUUCGGUUCGGUUCGGUUUUUAUCAAAAAAAGUAACCAAACCGAAAUUAUUUUUUUUUGAAAAAAAAUACCGAAACCGGGUCAAACCGACCGGUUUCGGUUCGGUUCGGUUUGGUUUUUUAGGGCAAAAACCGGUUCAAACCGGUUUGACUCGGUUUUUCCGGUUUUGGCUCGGUUUUUUCCGGUUUUGCCUCAGUUUUUUUCGGUUUGGCUCGGUUUUUCCGGUUUGGCUCGGUUUGUUUCCGGUUUUUUUCGGUUUUUUCGGUUCGGUUCGGUUCGGUUUUUUCAGUUUUUUGUUUAUAAAACCGAAACCGAACCGAACCGGCCUGUUUUUUUUAAAAUUUAAUCGGUUUAAUCGGUUAUUUUUUUCGGUUCGGUUUUUUCGGUUAUUUUUUUAUGGUUUUCUUGGUUUAAUCGGUUUUCCAGUUUUUUUGCUCACCCCUACUGUGAACAAAUGUGAUGACCAUUAAUUUGAACAUUAUUUUUUUCUUAAACCCUCUAAUUCCAAAACCUUAAUUUAGCCUACUCGGUCAGUUAACUUUCUUUUAGUGAGUUGUCAUUCAUUUUUCAUUACUUUUCCAUUGGUUUGAUUUAUUGUUUUUUUUUUUUAAAUGGGAGUACUGUUUAAUUUUUUUUGUAUAUAAAACUAGGACCAGAUUCAACCCCUCCUAUUCUAUUAUAACGUGUUUGAUGUGGGACCCAUAUGUGCCAUGUAUUUUGGAUAAUUGUUAGUGAUAUCACACGUGUAUGUUGGGCGGUCAAUGAGAGCCAUUUUCCAGUUGUUGGAUUCAGAAUUAUUAAGAAAUUCAGGUAUAUUGAUUUUAUUAAAAAUUCUAAAUAUAAAAAACUGGUUGUGAUUAGAAAAGAUAAAGAUUAAUAUUUAAGGGUUUUGAUAGAUUCCUAACUAGUAGUCUGUUUAUGGCUUAUGAUGAAGAUUUAUUUGUGUGAAUAAAUCUAGCGUUUUAAUUUUAUUGCGGGCUCGUGUGCCCAAAUAAAUUCUUAUGGGAAAAGUACAUAAAGGUGCACUGAUAAGGUUCACCUAUCUUGGAAGGCAGAAGGAUUUUUCAUAACUGGUGUGUUGUGAUAGAAAUACUCCUAAUUAAAAUUAGUGAAUAUUCAGAAUAAUUCUAAAAAUUUUAUAAUGUAUUUUGAAUAAUUGUUAGUGAUAUCGCACAUGUACUCAUGGUAUUGGAUGGUGAAGAGAGUUACCAUAUCGUUGUUUGGUUUAAACUGGUUAAGAAAUCCGGGUGUAUUGAUUUUAUCAAAGAUUUUAAAGGUAAGGGGCUGGUUGUAACUAAGAAAGGUAUUAGUACCCUUAGCACACCCUACCCGAAAUAAGCUGCAUUGCAUGGUCUGAAUAUGGUUUAAGGGUUUUGUUGAGUUCUUAACCGGCAGUUUGUUUAUGUCUUCGGAUGAAGAUUUAUUCGUGUGAAUAAAUCUAGCGUUUUGAAUUUAUUAUGGGCUCAUGUGCCUAAAUAAAUUCUUAUGGAAAAAGUUCAUUUAGGUGUGCUGAUAGAGUUCACCUAUCUUGGAAGGCAUAAGAAUUUUUCACAACUCGUGUGUUAUAAUAAAAAUACUUCUAAUUAAAAUGUAAUGGACCUAGGAAUCUCAUUCAAAUGAGCCACCUUUUUAAAGUAGAGAUGGGCAAUCCAGGUAGCAUCCAUAAUCUUUUUAUUUUUAUUUUUUUGGUUUUAAACAUUCAAAAACAUGUUAGAAAAUACAAACACAAACACACACAUUUGUUUUAUUAUAUUUUACUCACACAAACUACAAUUAUAUUUUUUACAUAUCACCAAAAUUCAAAACAAUUCAAGCACACACACAACAGACAUUUAUAAUUUACAAAAUAGGCCUUCUAAAAUUCAUAAAUUAAUCUAAAGAAAUUGCUAGAAAUUCAGGAACAAUGCUGGGAAGCUUCUAAGUUGCAGGAAUAGUGGCGGUGCGGGGUCUCACACACCACCACCACUUACGACGAGUGGAAUAACGUGUUGUCACUGGUGAAGACAAGAAAUAGGUGGAUAUUGCUUCUUCCUUUUCUUCUUAUGUUGGCAGUGAUUUUUCUUUGUUUUUCACUCCCCUUUUGUGCCGCCUCCUCUCUUCUUUUUAGUGUCUUCUAACCUCUCUCUAUGUCUCUUCGUCACCCUAGUUGAUCCCUCUUUUUCUCUUUUAUAUUUUGGCCUUUUUACCCCCAGAUGGAAAGAAAAAAGUUUCGUUCUAUGUUUUGUAUUCCUUCCUAUCCGGAUAUUGCGGGCUAGAUAUGAAGUAGAAAACGUGUGAAUUCAAAUAUCUCUAUUUCUGGAGAAAUUCUAGAAAAUUGAAUCUUCUUUCCAACGACAUUGAUCUUGAUAACUCGUGACAGCCUUUGAAGUGCAAGAAGUUCGGGUUUGAUUCAAUCUCUAUUAUUCGACUUGCUCUUUGGGCUUCAAAACAGCAAAACUGAGUUCUAUGUCCUUCAUAUGUUUUGUAGAUCUUCUUCUCAGAUAUUUAAAAAUGGUGACGAACGCCUAGAACUGAGUUGUAUAACUUCCUUUGCAGCCCAAAAUCAAUCAAUGUUCGGUUUUACUAUCGGAUUCUACCUAUUCAGUAAUCUAGUAUCUGAAAACACAUUAAUUUCCCACGAGGUCAAUAGUUCAAAAAGAGAUCCAAAAUUCUAAUUAACUUGUGCAACACCACCAAAAUAUUUCAAAAUCAAGCAUGAAUAGUGGAAAAUAUACAUGCUAAAAAUUCCCUUAUCAGUAAUUGUUUUGUAAUGUUUUGGUGAAAACCGGGUAUUUUAAUAUCGAACUUGUAUCUUUACAUUAUAAAAUACAAACCAAUAUUAAGAAAAAUUGUUUAGAAAAAUACGCGGGAAAAUUAUAAAUUUUUGAAAGGAUUUUUUAGAUUUUUUGGAUUUUUUUUUACCGGACCCGACCUGACCUAAUUAUUUUGACCUGGGCCGGACCAAAUAGUGGCUCUCAACUGUUCACAUGCUACAUGAACAGUGGAGAGUGAAUUAUAAUUCACUCUCUACUGUUCAUUAGCAUAAAAGUGGAGCGUGGAAGGGGUGAAGCAACAGAAAAAGGGGAAGAAGAAGAAGAAGAAGAGGGACUGACCUCACGGUGAGGUGCUCUUAUUCAUGGUGGCGGUGUUGUGGCUGUAGGUAGCGGUUCCUCCUCUUUUCUUUUCUAUUUCUGUGUUGCUUCUUUUUUUUGUUUCUAUUCCCUCGCUUCUCUGUUUCUUCUUCUGUUUUUUUAUGGUGGUGGUGCUAUUGUCGAUGGUGGCUCAAUGCAAUUCUUAUGGCAGCGACGAGGAAGUUAGGCGGUGAUGCCUUUUUUUUUCCCUUCUUGUUCCUUCCUUCUUUCUAUUUCCUCCCUUCUCCUUCUCCUUUCCUUUCCUUUUCUUUCUUCAUGACACGACCAAAGAGUUGAUGUCUUUUCCCAAGUGUAGGAGUGUCGAAGUAAUAAAUAACCCGGCAAGAUCGGGGUCGAACCACAGGGAGGUUAACUGUAUAAACUACAAAUAAAGAAAUAGAUAAUAACAUAAAAGGAGUUGAAGAGAGCUUUGAGAUGUGAUAUUGAUAUAAUGAUUAAACAAGGAUAAAAUAAUUGUCAAGGUUAGAGGAUCCACAAAUGGUAUUUCAAACAAUUAUAGUAUAAACUCUUUUUAUUACUCAACUGGAAACCACACACAAAGGAGGUUCCAAUUUGAUUAUAAAUUGUUAACAUGAUUACAUUAGUUAUCUUAUUCGAAUAAUGCUAAUACUUGUAAAUGUUGUUAGGUAUUCAUGAUUAUAACUUAUGUUAAUAACAAAUAAAAUUCUUUUCAUAACACAGGUGUCAGUUAUACCAUACGGUUGGGCUAUGAAAGUGUCAAGUAUUUGUUGUACCAAGGGUUAUACAACAUAAAUCUAGAUUAACCAUUUAACAAACAAAGUAUUAAAAGUGAACAAGAUAACAAAUACAAAACAUCUUAGUAUCAAACAUUAAAGUUCAUGUUGAGUUUAUACUAUACUUAUUCUUACACCAUUAGUGUAACCUUUUCACCUUGACAUAAUAAACUUAGCUAAACAUAAUGAAAGAGAGAAACAUAAAUAAACAAGAUAAGAACAUAAAUAAGAUAUAAGUUAACUAAGUAAAGGAAAGGAAAGGAAAUGAAAAGCAUAACAAGAGAUAAAUAUAAACAAAACUUAAGCAUUACAAAAAUAUAAAGAGAGAGAGCAAGAACAUGAUCUUGAUCUGAAAACCAAGAUGCCUAAAUGCAUGGCAAAUGCCUCCUUUUAUAGGCCAAAAUUUGGAACUAUUGAUUUGAUGACUAAUUGUUGAGUGGGUGGCCACAUCUUGACUUGGUGACAAUCCUUAUCUUCUUAUCUGAACAAAACAUCAUUGCUAACAUUAGAAUUUGAACAGAUAGUCUUCAUGAAAGUUCUAGGAAAUUGUCUCAGCUUUCCAAAAAAGAAAAGAAUUGAUGCAUUUGGACUUCUAAAACUCGAGAUAUGGGUUGAACACUGAAUAGUGUCUGGGCUGCAGGACAGAUUCCGACUUCUCCGUUGUUGCUACAAUUUGAACCUAAAGUCAUUUGAAUCUUAGACUCUUCAUGAAUGUUUUAGGCCUUGUCUUAGCUUUCCAUACAUAUAAACUAGACCUAAAUUCAAGUUCUACAGCUCCAGUUAUGAUCCAAUAACCGAAUGAUGUUCCAGUUUGGACUGAACCAGCAUCUCUUUUCUAAGCUUAGUCAUCUCUUUGUCUUCUCAAUUUUAAUAGUUAAACUCAUUAAUCAAUCUUUUCAUUUAUGUGAUAGGCCUGCAUUUAAGAUGAACAUUUAUUAUAAAUUAAAGGUAUCUUAUAUUAUCAAACAUGUUAUUAUAAAACAUGCUCUAGUUAAGGAGUUAUUGAUACUUCAAGUGCAAAAUGAUGAUAUAGAACCUUGAUAAAAAUACAUUUUUAAGUACUAAUCACACCCCCCCAACCAGCUUAUUACUAGUCCCUAGUAAUCAAAGCGUUAAAAUUGAAAAACAAUUUGCAAGUUCCACAAAGCAAGGCAUUCAUCAUUCAACUUCCAUUAAUCUAUCUAAAUAAACAAACUCUCAUUAAAUUUAUAUAUCUGCUUCAUACUUCUUAAACAAGAUAUUAAUAAACCUUCCUUUUGUGCUCAAUAAAUCAACACAUAGUUAUGGGGCUUUACUUGGAAGAAAACAAAAUUUUGUUCUAAUGUUUAAGGUUAACUUCCUUGGGUUGGGUUAUUAUCUUCUUCUUUUUUCUUUUUUUUUUAAUAUAUAUACAUAUACUUAAAACACAAUGCAUCUUUAACCAAUGUAAGGAGCUUUAGGCUAAUGACUCCCAGACCAGUUGGUCUUCGGGCAUUAGGUGUUGAGACACCCCUACAAGCUUAGUAACUCGGGUUUCAGAUACUGAUACGUAGAUAAUGCAAUGUUUGAUUCCCUUAAGCUUUUCUCCUUAACCCAUGUAACAAGCUUUGGGUCAAUAGCUCCCAAGUCAGUUGACUUUAGGGUAUUAGGUGUUAAAACACCCCUUCAGACUUAAUUGUUUAGGUUAGGGAGGCUACGAAACCAAACUUAUCUACGCUUUUAUUAUCAUCAAUAUUAUCAAUUUUUUUUUUUGCAAAUUAUAUACUAUCCCUUUCCCUUAGUUGUUACCUUUAACAAAAAAACAUAAAUAAUGUAAUAAUCAAAAGUGCAACCCACAAUCAUAUGUUAAAGUAUGUGUGUGAAAAUGAAGGUUUAAGAAUACUUGUUAAAUGAGUAUAUGAGCAGAAUCAAUUAAUAACAAUACGAGAGUUUGUAAACCUGAAUAUUUCAAGAGAAGUAUAUGAUAGACCUUGUUAUGAAUAUUGCAAAUAACCAAUGGAAAAUGUUUACUAAGAUGCGUCUCAAGAGUCAAUAAAAUUCUCCCUUACUCUGUCAUCCUAGUAAUAAUAGUUUUGUUAAAUGGUUUUAUUAAAAACAAAAGCAGUUAGUUGGUUAGUUAGUUUUUUUUUUAUCAACCACUACCCUCUCCCCCCAACCAAAACGAGACAUUGUCCUCAAUGUCAUAAGAUAGAAAGAUAGAGUAUAGAAGACAUCACCUGAAACAACAAACACUGACAAACCUGAAACAUACUUAAACAAAUAUAAGAAAUAACAAAACAAAAUAAUAUGCUAUUAAUAAAACCAAAAGACACAAGGUUUCACAAACGAAGGCUCAAAUCCAAUCUAAGCUUUUUACGGCUUUCCUUAGUUGACCAAUUUAUACGACUCAUGAAGGGAUCAAUUACAGGGAUGAAAGAUUGUAGUUGGUCAAUCAAUUGUUCAGCAGUAGUAACAGAGAUUAUGAUUUGUCAUGCCGAAGAUGUUAGAAAUUAUUGUUCCACAGCUUGAUCAAGAAAAGACAACAAAUUAUCAUAAAAACCAUUAACAUUUAAUAAACCUAUAGGUUUAUGGUGAAUGUGCAGUUGGGCCCAAGAGGAAAUAUGAAAGAUCUCUUCCAAUGUGCCCAGACCACCUGGUAAGGCAAUGAAGGCUUCAGCAUGGUUAAACAUUGUAUUCAUUCGAUCAGACAUUGUGGAAACCUAUAGUUCCUCUCCAAUUGUUUUUCCAAUGAUGUCCCCUUUUACUAAAGCUUUGGGUAUGACCCCCAAAACUUGACUACCUCCUAAAGAUGCAGUUAUUGACACACCCCCUCAUUAACCCAAGGCUGCCUCCCCCAUACACUAAAUGAAUUUUUUUCUCAGCUAGUACCUGACCAAGAUGAUUUGCUGAUUCUUUCCCAUGAUUGAAUCCACCGAAAACACAAAUAUUUCUUAUGUGAUGACUUGAGAGACCUGCAAUUUCUACACCCUUAGUUUUACGUCCAAGAACGACUUAAACGCCCUAUAUAGGUUGGGGAUAGGCUUCCCAUUCAGUUUUCUUAAAAACUGGCAAACAGGGUCUUUUAUAGUCAGAUUCCUAAGACUAUGCCGAGCAUGUUCUUUAUGAAAAUGGGGUCAUAAGUUAUGAAAUGCACAAUGCAUAUUGCCACUAGGAUAUGUCCCAAAAGUCAAUAGAAUAUUAUCUAAAGAUUCCUUAUGUUUUGAAAUAAAUCCUAACUUUUGACAAUUUUCACAAGCUUUACAGAACACAUGUAUGUCUUUGAACAUGGUGGGCCAAUAGAAUCCAUAUUGUAAGAUUUUUGCAGUAAUCUUUUUUUACGAGAAAUGACUCCCACAUGCCUUAGAAUGACAAAGUUUAAUGACACUACUUACCUCAUUGUCUGAAAUAGAUCUUCGAAAUAUUUGAUCAGGACAAUAUUUGAAUAAGUAAAGGUCAUCCCAAUAAAAGUUCUUCACUUCGUUCAAAAACUUUCCUUUGUCUUCGGUACUCUAUUGAGCUGACAAAUCUCAUGUUGCAAGGAAAUUGAUAUGAUUAGCAAACCAAGGCAUUGGACUAAGAGAAAGUAAGGAUUCGUCAGGAAAGUAAUCAUCGAUUGGUGUGAUGUCGGAUGUCGAAUCUAUUGUCAAUCUUGACAAAAGAUUCGUACCAACAUUUUCAGUGCCUUUCUUGUCCUCGAUUUCUUCUUGAGAAUAAAUCAUUUACAAAUCUGCAUAUUCGUCAAACUCUGUUUUACUCACGGUGGAUUCAAAUUGAUCAUAAACUAAUUUUUCAAUAACAUUUACUUCCUGUGAAUCAUUAUCAUCUCCAGGUUGCUUGUAAAUGUUGAAAAUAUUCAUCUCCAAUGUCAUGUUUCCAAAUGAUAACUUCAUCAGUCCAUUCCUACAAUUAAUCAAUGCAUUAGAAGUUGCAAGAAACGGACGUCCUAAAAUAAUAGGAAAUGAAUUACAUGCUUCAACAGGUUGUGUAUCUAAGACAAUAAAAUCCACAGGGUAAAUGAAUUUAUCAACUUGUACUAACACAUCUUCAACUAUUCCUCUAGGCACUUUUACAGAUCUAUCAGCAAGUAAAAGAGUUACAGAAGUUGAUUUUAACUCACCUAGAUUGAGACUUUAAAAAAAUAAAUAUGGAAGUAAAUUCACACUAGCUCCAAGAUCAAGUAAAGCUUUUUCAGUUUUAUGUUCUCCAAUAAAGCAUGAAAUUGUAGGACAACCAGGGUCUUUAUAUUUCAAAGAAUUAUUGUUUUGAAGAAUGACACUUACUUGUUCGGCUAAAAAGGCUUUCUUUUUCACAUUCAGUUUUCUCUUCACGGUGCACAAGUCUUUUAAAAAUUUAGUAUAAGAAGAUACUUGUUUAAUAGCAUCCAGCAAAGGUAUAUUGAUCCUUACCUGUUUGAAAGUUUCAAAGAUUUCAGAGUUGUGAUUGACUUUUCUUUGUUUGGUCAUGGCAUGAGGAAAUGGAAGUGAUGGCGGGGAAUCAGUCUUUUCUUUGCAAUAUUCAGAUUCAACCCCUUCCUUACCCUCAGAGAUUGACUCAUCAUCUUUCUCACAAGGUUCAAGAGUGGGUUUUUCAAUAACCUUACCACUGCGAAGAGUGAUGACUGACUUGACUUGCAUUUGCAUUGUAUUGCCUCUUGGGAUUUUGCUGUGGUUGAGAUGGAAACUUACCUUUCUCUUGAAAACUGAGAGCAGAUGUGAACAUUGCAAGAGUAUCUUUAAAAUCUGUCAUGCUUUGAGCAAGUUGAGUGUUGAUUGUCUCUUGCUUUUCAAUGAAUGCAUGCAAUGUUUCCUCAAGAUUUCUUCUAGGAGGUGAAGCAUAAGAAGGUGCAUAUCCAUGAGAAUUUUUGAAAUUAUGUUGUGCUUGAAACAAUGACUGUGAAGUUUGUGCAUCACUCUUCCAACUGAAAUUUGGGUGAUUUCUCCAACCAGGGUUAUACAUUUGUGAGUAUGGGUUAUGAUUAGGCCUUUGGAAACUGUUUAAAGUAUGGGCUUGUUCAUGGAGGCAUUCCCUAAAAGAAGGCAAAGUUGGACAAUCAUUUGUUGAGUGUUCAUUGGUUUCACAGAUUUGACAUAUAAUUUCUUGAACAUAUUUUAAUUGACCACUCCUUUUCAAUUUUAGUGCCUCGACUUUUCUAGCUAAAGAUGCAAAUUUGGCUUGGAGGUCAUGAUCUUCCCUAAGGUUGUACAUUCCUCCACUAGAUGUAUGAGGUUGAGUUUUACUUGGUGCCUCAUAAGUGUUUGUAGUGUCCCAAUUUUAAGCAUUUUCAGCUAGCAAGUCUAGGUACUCCAUUGCUUCAUUAUGGUCUUUAUUUUUAAAAGUUCCAUUGCAUAUCAAUUCCACCAUUUGUCUAUCUUUAGGUGUUAACCCUUCAUAAAAAUGUGAAACCAAUCUUCAUGUUUCAAAACCAUAAUGAAGGGAAGUAUUAAGCAAGUCUCGAUACCUAUCCUAACAUUGGUAAAAUGUUUCUCCUGGUUUUUGAGUGAAAGUGGUGAUUUGUCUUAAGAUAGGCCUGCAUUUAAGAUGAACAUUUAUCAUAAAUUAAAGGUAUCUUAUAUUAUCAGACAUGUUAUUAUAAAACAUGCUCUAGUUAAGGAGUUAUUAAUACUUCAAGUGCAAAAUGAUGAUAUAAAACCUUGAAAAAAAUGCACUUUUAAGUACUAAUCACUCUAUUUUAUAUCUUUUUGUUUCGUUCUUCUUUCUCUCCUCUUUUUCUCUGUUUCUCUCUCUUCCUUCGUCCUCUGCUCUUAACAACCAUCCCCCUGUCAAUUCUCUCAUCGGUCUCCCCCUGUUUUUACCUUCUUUGUUUCCUUCUCUCUAUAUCGUCCCCUCUGUUUCAAACCGUUCCUUUAACCUUCUCUCUAUGUCUUUCUCUCCCCUUCGUUCUCUCUCUCUUUGGUCCUCUUAAAAAAACUCUUCAAUGUCCUCUCAAAAGUCUCUUGCAAAUCGUCCCUCUUUUUCAUUCUCCCCACUCUGGUAUUUAUAAGGGGAAAAAAGGAGAAAGCCACCCAACCCUGUCCAGUCACGCUGAAUAGGUAGGUGCUAGGUGGCCACUAUACAGCCAUCCGCAGGACUUGUCUCCUAUGCUUUUCCAUCUCAGCAGGCCAAUAAGCAUGGUGGGUCUUAUCAGUUUUGGGUUUUUGGGAAAGAGAGGGAAAAAGGCGUUACAGGGGAGAAAAUCUUCUUCUUCCCCUGCCUGUGCGUGUCUAGGGGAAAGAGAUGUACAAUGUCGUUCAAAACAACACUGUUUCCCCUAUUUUUUUAAAAGUGGACAAAACAGUGUCAUUUUGAACAAAACGCGUUGUAUCAUUUAAAUGAAAAUGGCGUCAAAGAAGUCAAUUUCCAAAUCAGUCCUCAAUUUUUUAUUUAUUCAAUCAAGUCCUCAAUUGAGAUUUUGAUUUUAAGAAUCAAUUCAAUUGCAUCCCUGCCAAAUAGGAUGUCAGCCCUAAAGUUGACCACCUUUUUUAUUUUGGUCUUUGGUCUUGGAUUUAUGCAAUUUGACCCUCAAUUGAUCAAUAAACUUUUAUUUUCUUCAAUUUAGUCCCUGAUUGAGUCAAUUUCAGUUCCUCUAUUUACACGUCUUUUCCAACUUGGUCCUUGGUUUUGGAUUUCUUCAAUUAAGUCCCUAAUUGGCCAUAAAACUUCAAUAUUUACGCAAUUAAGCCCCUGAUUUUGAUCAAAUUAACUCUUAAAAAUUAUAAUUUGACCCCAAAACUUUAAUUUCUUCCAAUUAAAGCCUAAAUUGACUUCAAAAUCAAUUUUUCUUGCAAUCAAACCCUCCAUAAAUUCAAUUAAACUUCAAUAAAAUUUAAAUGAGUCCAUAAACAUUUGAUGUUGGACUUUUCUUCCUCAAAUUGAAUUUUCUUUGUCAACAGGGCUCUCAUUAGUCAAUAAAAUACUGCCCAAUUUCAAUCUUUGUAUUUUUGAACCUCCUCAACCAAUUUUUGACUAUUUUCUGAGCGUUUUGACAUCCUCUAUUCACUGUUAUAUUUUUUGAUAAUAUUUUUUAUUUUUUUGUAUUUUUUUUAAUAGAGAAAAAAAUGUGAAUUGAGGAAUAACCCAAAAAUGGGUUAUGACAAUUAAAAUAACAUUUCUAUGAUUUUUUGUGUCCAUUUUAAUCUCUAAUCUUAGGUACAUUUAUUUAUGGUACGUGAUAAGGUGACCUUAUAUGAAUUUCAAAAAAUCAGGAUGCUCUAGUCAAAACUUAAGGCUUUAUUAAGAAAGGUUGUUUCUUUUGAGCUCCUAUUUUAUCAGCAUGCAUAACCACCGGUGACUUAAUUCAUAAAGCUAUGACCCUUAUAGAAAAGCACUUCAAUUUUUUAGAGCACCAUUUAUCGAUUUAAAUUACUUACCUGAUUAAAAAAGGUUUUUAAAAGCAUGUAAUGCAUGCUAUGGUUCAUGUUUAUGAAAUAAAGGAAAUUUAUAGGCUCAAAAGGUGUUUGAGGGUUUCAAAGACCUAGGAUCAACAUCAAAUAUUCAUCAACUCUUUUUCUGUUGUUGUCUUUGUAAAGGAAAUGACAUAUAACCAUGUUAACCUCAACGAUCAAAAUUCUCUUAACAUAGAUCAUAAUACAAAUCCAACUUGUGAUUUGAUGAAUAACCAAUCUAAUCAUUUGAAGAUCCUAGAGGCUUUAUCAUAGACACCAAAAAACAUUUUUGUAGCUCAAUAUUUUUUUAUGGUGUUGAUUUUUAGCAUUUGUUGUGUCGCUAACUGUGACAUGAUGAAUUCUACCACCCAUUUCACUGCUUUGUCUAGAUGAUAAUGAAAGACAUUAUCAAGCACAUAUGAUUGAUCAUCAAUAUUUUAUGCCCCUCAGUCUAUGUCUCUCUUUUUUCUUUUAGCCCUUUCUUAAUCGUUGAACUUUUGUUUUUAACAUUCCCUUUACCAUUGAUUCUAUCCUUGUCUCCAUCUUUUCUAACAAAAUAUCUCAUUUGCCCCCAGUGUGGAGUGUGAUCCAUGUCUGAGUUUCUUUUUGAAAAAUAAUUCUACAAGGCUUAAAAUGGGAUUGCAAGGGAUAUAUAUUUCAAGAAAUGUGGAAAAGAGUGAACAAAAAUGAUAUUUUCUCAUUUCAAGCAAGGUCGGUUAUAACUGAUAAAUUGUGACAUCGUCUAGUGUAAUGAUUUGGACUUGUUCACAAGUCCAUAACAAGUAAAUCAACUACAUGUCAUUAUACAUACUGCUAAAACUUAGCUAAAUGAUGUAUGAUUUCAAAAUUUGCUUGGUCACCCUGUAUAUUUUAUCAUGCCAACAAGUCAUUUUUGCAAUCAAAACACUUUUAAUCUUUAAGGAUUGAUUGGGCUUGAUUUUGUCCAAAUAAAAUGUUAAACAUCUCCUAACUUCAAAACAAUAAAGAAACAAAAAAGAGACAUGUUUCAUUAAAUGAUAAGGUGUGAUCCCAAAGCAAAAUGCAAAAUGGCAAAACUUUAUAACAAAAUGAUUGACAAUUCAGUGCCUUUCUUGGAUAAGCUUUUCUGGCAAUAUCUGUGUUUUGCCAAAUAUUUUUGAUCACUUGUCAUGCUGAGACGUCCUAGUGAAAAUAUGGAAAAUGACAUCAUCUUUCACAAACUCAAUUCGCCUCUUGCUCCCCAACUUCAAGAGUGGUAUCUUGAAAUUUUUGUAACUAUUCAAUUGAAUGGCUCAGGACCCCACCAUGAUAUUCACACCUCUUGUCUGGAUUAUACUACCUAGGAAACAGUGGUUGCAUGAGAUUUCAUGAAGUCGAGGCAAUAAGUCCGAAAUCUAACAGAUUCUGGUAGAUGAACUUGAGUGGCAAAGAGAUGUCAAUCUUAACAAAGGCACUUGAGCAAUUGAUGCUAAAACGAGACCUGGAUGAAUUAUAUAACUAAGGUUUCCUACUUAAGAGCCAUCUUUCUAUCAUUGUUCUAGAAUCCCCGGUAGGACCUUUAAUAUUUCUCAUCUUGCUAGUUUUUUCAAUUCUUUCAGCAAUAAUCACAACCUCCUGUCAAUCUUUUAAGGUGGUUGUGGUUGUUUGAGGAUUGUUGUAAACUUUCCAAGGUUGUUAGGUAAUCCUGGCAAUGCAUGAAACCAUGCAGCACCGCCACUACCGACGUGUGGAAUCACGCGUUGUCUCUACUAUAGGAGAACCUGAUGAAUCUGAAACUCUUUUAUCUCCUCUUCGAUUCCUCACUAAUGGUGCAACAAACAGACACCUAUAGAGGGAGUUCUGCUAUGUUGCAGUUUCAAUCUUCUUCUGGUUUUUCAGUUCAAGUCUGUCUCUUCUCCUUACGUCUGCGUUUUAAGAUUGACACUAGUGGGAGAAAAUUAUAGAUGAUAUGAAACUACUACAUUCCUUAUUGGAUUCCCCAGUAGUAGAGCCACCAACAGAUCUCUGUACAGGGAGCUCUACUCUGUUGAAGUUCAAUGUCUACUCUAGUUUUUUCAAACCCAUAUGCUGGUUGCUGGACUGGAAUGGAGUUCAAGAUGGGAAUGGCUGGAAAGAAGGCCUCGACUUAUGGCGUGGAAGGUUCACAGCUGUUGGAAGCUACUGGAAAGAGAUGUAGACGUUGUGAACAACUAUUGGAUAGCUGAACAAGAAAGGAGGUUGUCUUUCAUUGAUGACUGAAGGCAUUGUUGUUGUUGUUCAUGACUGAAAUGAAGGAGAGAAGGUGCAGUUUCGAUGUCGUGACCCUCGCUAGUGGAGUGUUGAGGAGAAGAGUUAAUUAUUUUUCCUUGUGUGGGACGCAGACUGACAGUGUUUCCAUAGGAGGCUGUGCAAACAAUCCCUUUCCAUUAUUGAAGCUCAACACUUGUUCAAGUAGAUUUAUGACUCUAGCUACUUCACCUUUGAUGCUUUCAAUUUUCUUUUGAUAAUGAGCCUCUAUUUGACCCCUUUCUUCAUUUUCCAUCUUUUCUCAGUCUAGUGCAGUAAACCUCAGGUGGUGGAACUUAUGUUUCAACCUUGGGGCAUGCAUGAUAAAUGCAUGAGCAUAUUCUUAUAUGAUGAACUUGUCAUUCAAGGGGUGAUACAUGGUCAUAACUCUUAUAUGAUGAGACAAGAAUUUUGAUUCUUGCUCAAACUCUGCAACAAAAAUUCCCUGAGAGAUGGCCAUUGUAUCACCCAUAAGUCCUGAAUUCAAGAUGCUUCAAGAAGGGCUUGCUUUGAUACCAAACAAUGUGUAGGGAGUAUACAUCCUAAAGGCAGGAUCUAAUUGUUUUACGUGAGACAAGGGGUAGGUUUACUACUUGAUCUGUAAUAAGGGGUAGGUUUACUAAUUGGUCUCUAAUAAGGGGUCUCUCGUUGUCCAGUGAUCAUCCUUGAAAGGUCGAGAUGAGGCUUACAAGUAGUGUGAAGAUAAAGGCCCUGGAUAAUAUCAUAUUGGCAUAUCAACUACUAUCGAGUAAAUAAUCAAGCAAGAACUGGAUGGUUUCACGAGUCUUAGAUUGGAUAAAGUCAUUGGAAUACCGUUAUUUCCCCAUUUAACUUAAUGUUGAUACAACAAAUAUUUAAAAUGAAAUGAGUGAUGUCUGAAGAUAAAAAUCCAUAUCCAAUAUGUGCAUGAUGUCAUAAAUAAAUAUACAUGCUAAAGUUGUAGAAAUAAAAUAAAAAUUCAUAACCAAAUAAACACAACUCGGCAAACAUUUUUAGCAAUUAACAUACAAAAGGCAAAGCUUAGUCCUAGAGUUCUCCUACGGAGUCAUCAUUCUGUCGCAUCCGACAUUGCGAUGAACUUUAAAAAUUCAAAAUUUGGCUAAGAAAAAACAUAUUUUCUAGCACUACAACACACAGACGCAGAAGAAAAGUCUUAUUUAUUAAAGAACUAACAUGGCUAUUAAAUAGCCUUUCAUCAAGACAGAAGGGAAAUAACAACCCACGAUUUUACAGUCCUACAAUCGUGGUAUAUAACUGAAACAAAACAGAGAAUCAUUUGUCCCUUAAGACGAGGGAUUAUUAUGCAUGACUUCAAAACACUCACAUCAUAAAAACAAUGAAACCCAAACAAUAUUAAUCUAGAGGAUCUUAACAUCUUUAACACUCUCUCUGUUUUUGUUUUCUUUUUCAUUUCUCGUUCUCUCUGUUCUUUUCUGGCUUUAGUUCCUCUGUUUCUGCUUCUUUUCUUUCAUUUUUUUCCUCUCAAGUUCGUUCCUGUCUAUGCUCGUCUCCGUCUUCUAUGUUUUUCUAUUCGUCUUUGUUGUUUCCUCCUUUGUCUUCUGUGUUUUUUGUCCCCCCUAUGUUUUUCUGUUCGUCCUCUGGUUCUCUCUGUUUGCUCUCAGUCCCCCGGUCUACCUCUGUUUGCCUUAGUAAUAUAUAUGUAGUAGCAUGAGGAGGAGUGUUGGUGUAAGGCUAGUAAUAUGUUUAUUUAGUUUUCCUGUAAAUAUAGGUAUCAAUGUAAAUAGAGCAUCUACACACACUAAUCAAGGAAAUAACUCAUCGUACAAUAUUUUUACCCUAAAAUUACUUGGUAACUGAAAAUGUACAAAUGAAUCAGCUAAUAUGUAUAUUGAUGGUAUCCAUAUAAUAUAUUCUUUCUUGCUUACAGAUAAAAUACCACGAAAUUGUGAAAAAUGAAGAAUGAACACACUAUCUUGAAAAUUUCUAAAACCAUCUAAAACCAUCUUUCAAGGUCUAUAUGAAGCAAUAACCUCAUAGUUCUCUCACUAACACAUCUAUCUUACUGUAUAUGGUAAGCACGAACAUACAAAGAUCCUGAACGUUAACUUAAACUACAUCAUCAUCAUAAUCAUCAUCAUCAUCAUCAUCAUCAUCAUCAUCAUCAAUCAAUCCUUCCCUAACAUCUCCAGUAAUGCCCCUUUGUCCCCCCUUACAAGGACCAUAAGCCUUGCUACAAGCAAGAUAAUAAAUGAAGUUAGCAAAGCCCAAACUAUAAAGCAGCCAGUAAUAGUAAUCAUAAUGUCCUUUGUUGAUGUUGCUUGAAACCCAACUCUCUUGAUUUGCUUCACCAAUAAACCCACAAACAUUACUUACUAUAAAACUGGCCACCAAGCUUGCAGCAGACAGUCCAAUACUAAAAAGAUUCGAGGCCACGCUAGACAUGCUUUUAGGCAAUUCAGUGUAGAAGAACUCAUUCAGUCCAACACCAUUCAUAGCCUCAGAAAAUCCAAGUAAGAAAUAGAAUGGCAAUAACCACAUUGCAGACAUGUGCGUAACCGCGUCAGGAAUAUCUGAAAUUCCUUCCCUGAUUGCAAUUUCUCGUCGCACCCUCUCUAUAAUUGCCAGUACUGCCAUGGAAGCAGCCGAGACCAGAAUCCCAAUUCCUAUUUUCUGUUUCAAGCCGAGACGUGUUGGUUUUCCCCUGACCUUUGAUGCUAGAGGGAUGAUUACGCGAUCGUAGACAGCAAUCCACAUUGUUGCAGAGAGCAACAGAAAUGCAUAGAAUGAUCCAGCAGGAAUUUCAAAUUUCGAAGUGAUAUGUCGGUUCAUAGUGGAUGCCUGGAGUAAUAGGAAAGAGUUUUGACAGACAUUUACAGACACCAACAUCCCUGUCGACCAUAUUGGGAUUACCUUUAUUAGUGCUUUUAGCUCUUCUACUUGAUCUACUGUACAAAGAGUCCAUGGAUCUGAAGCUCUUCCAUCUGGCAUCAAGUCUUCUUCAGGAUUCUUAAUAACACAAGCUUUGUUUAGAAACCUAAGACAAGAUAAGACAAAAGGAAAUCCUUAUAGGAACUAUCAUAUAUGAAAUUAAUUACUCUUUGUAAGACAAGGUAGGUUAAUUACCUUAUUCUUUCACUUGGCACGACAAGCGCGGAUCCCUUCCUAUGAUGAUACAGCUCAUCCGUGUCUGGCCAUGAUAAUUCAAUCCUUCUCUUUCUAUAGGAGGCCACGAGAACUCGAGCAAAUCCGAUGAGCCAGCUUGCCUUAACCUUUGGCUUGACAUAAAUGGGAGAAGCCAAGAAGAACGAAAGAGUUGACAGGAUCAUGAGAACCACAGGAACUCCGAAACCCACCUUCCAGCCCAUGGUGUCUUGAAUGUAAACUAUACAAGUCAUGGAAAUAAAUACAGAAGCUGAGGAUGUAACAUAGUACCAACUGAAGAAGCUCUCUAAUAUUCCAGCAUGUUUAAGGCUGUCCCUCUUGCUCAAUUGAUCAGCACCAAAGGCCAGGGAGCAUGAUCUUAUGCCUCCAGCACCGAUAGACAUAAGGCCUAAGCAAAAAUAUAGAAACAAAAGCUGUGGUGUCGUCGCGUCG
rnacentral:lncRNA from 1 species